rfam:Loxodonta africana unplaced genomic scaffold scaffold_31, whole genome shotgun sequence.
GGUUUCCUGGCUGAGUGGUCUAAGGCGUUGGAUUUAGGCUUCAGUCUCUUUGGAGGUGUGGGUUCGAAUCCCACCGCUGCCA